UACGGGGGGGAGCAAGCGUUGUUCGGAUUUACUGGGCGUAAAGGGCGCGUAGGCGGCCACCGCAAGUCGAUUGUGAAAUCUCCGGGCUUAACCCGGAAAGGUCAACCGAUACUGCGGGGCUAGAGUGCAGAAGGGGCAACUGGAAUUCUCGGUGUAGCGGUGAAAUGCGUAGAUAUCGAGAGGAACACCAAAGGCGAAGGCAGUGUCCUGGGGAGUACCUGACGCUCAGGUGCGAAAGCCAGGGGAGCGAACGGG
rnacentral:rRNA from 1 species